AGAAUUUGUCUAGCAGGUUUUCCUGUUUUUACCGGAAAGCCACA
rnacentral:snRNA from 1 species